GAAAGGCUUCAUCAAUGUGAAACCUAGAGUAUUUAGAGCACGAAUUAAGUUCAGCUUUUAUAUUAGAUUUGUUUCUGGAUUGUUUUAGCCUCGAUGUAGUUUGUAUUUUGCUGUUGUAACUCCCAAAAAUGUGACUUCUACUUGCACAUUCCGUGUACGCCCAAAUUUUGAAAGGCCCAAAUCGGAGGUAACAUAGUGGCUUCUUAACUGUCCAUAAGCUGUUGGGUUGAUGCUCUCAAUACGUCGGAGUUUGUCUUUUUUCUUUUCUUUUUGGUAAUCGUUGCUGUUUUUGUUUCUUAUCUCCCACCUGAGGCACGGACGCCACGAUGUUUCAGCUCAGGUUGUUUGUUCACCAGCGCCUGUACGCUGCAGCUGAAGAGAUCCUCGGGCAGAUGGAGAAAACCAUCACGUUAGUUUUGCACGAGGCAGACGUUCGAGCUAAAGAGGAGGCGGAAAGUCUGCGACACCAGCUGAAAUCAGCUGAAGAACUUCCAAUGACCAACAGUGCCGUCCAACAUGGAGAUGAAUGUGACUCCCCGCUGCUGCAGGAGUGCGAGGGACCCACAAACACAGAAGAGUCUGACUUCACACCGAGCCCUGAGAAUCCAGGAACCCCAGAGCCCACUGCAGAUCUAAGCAGUUACAGUGGGAAGUACUGCCUGGUGGAGAGUCCUGAGGUGAAGAUGGAGCAGGAGGAGCAUAGGAAUGAGAGUUUUUUCUCUCCUCCAGGAACUGUGAAAAGUGAGGAAGAACAGUCGGACACGCAAAUAUAUGAAACGCAGAUGCUUUCUUCAUACUUGUCUGCAGCUGUUAGUGAGGAGACGGAGAGAGGAGAACAGGCCAUAACGGUGAAACAGAAAGCAAAGAUGAUGCAAGGAAAACGCAUCAGUGACGGCAAGAAAGCCCAAGCAGCUUUGUCUUAUAAGAACUGCUCGGUUAAAAGGAAAAAAGGUCGCAAGUUUUGCCAUUUGUGCGGGAAGCGUUUUCACUACACCGCCUCUUUAAUGAAGCACAUAAAAACCCACGAGAAUUGUACCAGUUGCGUUAUUUGUGGGACGAAAUACGGGUGUCCCAAAGAACUUGUUUUUCAUUUGAAAAAGAAACACAGAGAUGCAUAUUUUUGUGAUGUUUGCGGUAAAACUUUUUUCAAAGUCCGCAGCCUCCAGACUCACGAAAGAAAACACACACUGACGAAAGAGUUUGUGUGUCAGGAAUGUGGCAAAACUUACCGGUAUAAACACUGUUUGAUUACGCACAUGAGUAGCCAUUCUGGGGAGUAACCAUACCCUUGCGAUAUUUGUGGUAUGCGCUUUAGUCAAAAUUCAAACAUGAACAGACACAAGACCACCCAUAUGGGAGAGAAGCCUUAGCCCUGCUAUAUGUGUUGUUUGCACCUAAUCUCAAGUCACAUUUGCAAACACGUGAAACAAGCAGGGUGAUGAGUGAUCCCUUUUUUUCCCAUCUAGUUGAAACUGGAUAGCUUUUAAUAUCGUCCACUUAACACGACUGUGCCUGAUGUGGUGUCAGAUAACUGCAAUUCGUAAUGUUUGGUUUGCUUUAAAGACCAUUGCAUCAUUUCUACAGCUAUAUGCUGCUGUUGGUUAACAUGAUUUUGCUGUUUUCUUUUGGGUUUUUUAAAAUAAGCCUAGGGGGCUUUUAUGAGUGUAGAGCAACACAUCUGCAGCUCUUGUUGCCCUCUGUGAUGUUGCGGUGUUGUGAGACUAAUUUCCACGGUUGACACUAAGGUUUAACAUCCUACUGUAUAACAUUACAGUGGUCUGCUUGUCUCUGGCUGCAGCCAUGGCGUGCAUACAUUUAUAUGGUAAAUGGUUUUAAAUGUAAUAUUGGUAUGUGUAUUGUCUCAGAUCUGUGGCUAAUGUAGAUACUGUAUGUGGGUUUUUUUCAACAUGUUAUUACUUGAUAAAACUUUGCAUUUUGAUGGAUUAGAGUCUGGGAGUCUUUUGAAUGAAGGGAAAGAAGCUUUUGAUAUAUAUAUUUUUUUAACGAUGUCUUUAUGAUGCCACAAAAUUAGGAAGUUCAGUACAUUUCAUAGGGGCUUAUUUGUUUCUUUGUGUUUCAAUUUUCAACAGUUUUCCUGUUAUUUUGAAUUCCAGUAAAAUUUCCGAGAAAAUGCCUAAAUCAGGAUAAAGAAACUUCAUUUGUUUUUUUGUAUUUAUCAACUACAAUACUUCUUUGACUCAAAGUCAUGAUGUAAUCACAAUAUUUGGUGAGAUUUCGUAAUGAAAAGGCCUUUGUAAAUAUAUUUUUUUUAAAGUGUUAUGAAGAAGACAACAAUCAGAGACUCAGAAAGCCAACACACAUGCAGUAAAUUAAUUAAACUCCUGCCAUUGUGGCAAAAUACCAUUGAAAGUCAUUCCGAUUAUUGCUGUUUCUUUUUUGGUGUGUUGGGAACUAGAUCACCACCCUCCAAAUGAGAUUGUGCAUGUGGUCUAUCCUCAUAAUAAAUAACUUUUCUUUACAUUUU
ensembl:lncRNA